rnacentral:lncRNA from 1 species
UUUUCGUGUCUUGGAGUGUAUAAUCUUAUCUANACUAAAAUCUGUCACCCUCUCCCUUGGACUCUCUUUUAAGAAAAACCAAACCCUAACACAAAUAUUUUUGCAGCCACCACCCUUAUCCCUCUAAUCUCCAAACGACAUCGUCUCCUUUGUCGCCGUCGUGAACCACUAUGCACCACCGCCACUGCUGCUGCCGACGACGGAAAGGAUCGACAAGGCUGGCGUCGUGACUGCUAGGAAGGUGGAAAGAGCUAUANGGAUUAUGGUGUUGCUGUUGUUGUUCUCAGUUGGGGUCGCACAACCUCUCUCUUCUCCGACUCGUUUUCUGUUAGCGCCACUGCUGUCGUCGCUCCAAGCGACUAUUCCUUUUGUUGUUCCACUGGCCGUUGUUCUCCACCAAGACAAUGGUUCUGGUUGUGUUGUGUUUCAUGUGUAUAUAUAUGCUACUAUUAUGAGUUGUGAGGUGUGGGUGUAUAUGUGUGUGUGUGUUUUGUUCGCCGAAAAAACAAAGAAAAACCACCAUGAUAACCAACCAUAAUGGCUGUCGCCUUGCAGUCAGUUCCUGCCACCACCCGCCACUGUGUGGGGUGGUUGUGUGCAUGUAAUAUUGUGUGUAUGUAUUUUUUUGCAUGUAAUAAUCUUAUCUAACUAGUGAUUCAAAGUCUAAUUAGAUACAAUUGUGUAUCAUUUCAUAUUACAUAGGAACCUCACGCGUUAUCAAGACCCGAUCUGACACUUAGCAUCCUAGACGACACGUUCUUCGACUGGUGAGUUCAUACCACUACGCCUUUUUCCGUGUUUUUCAAUGUUUUCAGGGGGGAAUACAAGCAAACUAUAAAUGUUUUCAAAACUUAAAACUGAUGUAUUUCUAUAAAUAUCUGGCUAACUUUUAGAUAUAUUUACCCCUUAUGUAUUAUGCUGAGCAUAAGGGAUGUUUUAUCGAUCAUAACUACAUGGAUUUCAGUAAAGGAAACAAUUAAAUCAAUCAAAUUAUUAUGGGAAUAAUUUGGGAUCUUUAGUUCUUAUUUAACAAGCACAAAUUUAUGUAAAGCUUUUAGAUAAACUAUGUCUGAUUUAGUUUAUCUCUGUUUAAUUUAGAGUAUUUUGCCAGAUAAUUCCAUUACAUUUAACUGUUUUCGUUGUAUUAUGUUUCAAAACGAUUAGUAUGUUUGAUAACGUCUAAAAACACCGUGAGUAAUUUAAUACUAGCUUGUGAGAUUCGUCAUUACCCUUUGGGUUAUCAGUAAAUCCUCCCCGGAAGUGUAACCAGAGUCUCCAGGAGGGAGAGCGUGGAAUUUGUGAAUAGAUCUAUUCGGGACUGACAAUCCCACACCUAAACUGCUAGCUAUAGUUAGGCGGGCACACCUGUGGUGACAAGUUAUGGAAAUCGUUCGACGUCUGACAAACGUCAAGGAUGUCUCGGUGUCGUAUCAGCAUGGUUACCCGACUCACAAUACAUAUUAAUAUAAGUUUAUUCACGGAUCUGAUUUUAUAUCUAUCUUUAACCUAUAGUAUCUAUAUCUAGUACGGGAUGAUAGUCCUAUGGUUUUCAAUCUAUAUCUAGUAUGGGAUGGUAAUCCCAUGGUUUUCAAUCUAUAUCUAGUACGAGAUGAUAAUCCCAUGGUUUUCAAUCUAUAUCUAGUACAGGAUGGUAAUCCCAUGGUUUUCAAUCUAUAUGUAGUACGGGAUGGUAAUCCCAUGGUUUUCAAUUUAAAUCUAGUACGGGAUGAUAGUCCCAUGGUUUUCAAUCUAUAUCUAUCUAUAGUUUCGUGUAUAUCAAACUGUCUUAUAUCUAGUACGGGAUGGUAUUCCCAUGGUUUUAUAUCUAGUACGGGAUAGUAAUCCCAUGAUUUUCAAUAUAUAGUUUUACGUAUUAAAUUAUACACAGUUGUAUUUAAUGAAAAUUCAGAACUUUAUCUAAACUUUACUUUUAGGAGAAUAAGGGUUUUUCCUGGGAUAACUGAACUGUUCUUAACUAGACCGAGUAACUAAAUGGAUAACUCAACUAUACUUAUAAGAAAAUAUGGGAUUUUAUUGGAUAACAACCUUUUCGGAAAACCAAAGGAACUUGUACAUUUUCAGAAAACAAACCUCUUAUGAACUCACCAGCUUUAUGCUGAUUUUCAAACUGCUUGUAUUCUCAGGUCCCCAUUAGACAGUUACCCAGCGAUCCUUUUGGCGAAGACGGAGUACCCAGAAGACAUGUCUUUACUUUUGUUCAUAUGAUAUAUGUAUAAUGCAUGUAACUCUUUGUUUUCAGACUAUGUAAAUGAAUCUAUGUAAUGUAAAGUUUUGUGUUUACUAUGCUUACUAUGUACAUUGGUUGCAAUAUUCAUGACGUCCUUCGCCCCGGAACGUUCCCGCCUUUGGUUUCGGGGUGUGACAGAAACACAGACACCUGCUCGAGAUGGCUCGAGACCAUGUGUUUUCUUCGGCUAUCCUGAAGGAACAAAGGCAUACAAAGUUUAUGAUGUCAAAGACAAGAAAAUUAUUGUAAGUAGAGAUGUUUGUUUUGUGUAGCUAUCCUUCCUUUU